GAUGAACGCUAGCUACAGGCUUAACACAUGCAAGUCGAGGGGAAACGAUAGAGAAAGCUUGCUUUUUCUAGGCGUCGACCGGCGCACGGGUGAGUAACGCGUAUCCAACCUGCCCAUCACUUGGGGAUAACCUUGCGAAAGUAAGACUAAUACCCAAUGACGUCUCUAGAAGACAUCUGAAAGAGAUUAAAGAUUUAUCGGUGAUGGAUGGGGAUGCGUCUGAUUAGCUUGUUGGCGGGGUAACGGCCCACCAAGGCGACGAUCAGUAGGGGUUCUGAGAGGAAGGUCCCCCACAUUGGAACUGAGACACGGUCCAAACUCCUACGGGAGGCAGCAGUGAGGAAUAUUGGUCAAUGGACGAGAGUCUGAACCAGCCAAGUAGCGUGCAGGAUGACGGCCCUAUGGGUUGUAAACUGCUUUAUAAGGGAAUAAAGUGAGUCUCGUGAGACUUUUUGCAUGUACCUUAUGAAUAAGGACCGGCUAAUUCCGUGCCAGCAGCCG
rnacentral:rRNA from 1 species